UAUUUGUAUUAUAUGUAAAAAUUAGAGUCAAUCAAAAGUGUAGUAAACAUUUUUCGUAAGAUUAUUGACAUACAUGUUAUAAAGUAUAUUUUUAUAAUCCUUUCUAUAAAGUUACAACCUGAAUAAAAUUUAUUUUUAAUGAUUUUAAAGUUAGACAGACAUGCACAAAUUGUUGGCAUUUUUUUAAACAAAUAAAAGUAGGAAAUAAAUAAAGUUGUAGGUACUUUCAAGAAAUAUAGUUAACUGUAAGUGCUGUAUUUUAAUAAUCUAUCAAAAAUCAAAAUCAUCAGGAUAAUAUUAGGUAUUGAUUUUCAAACAAGAAUUAGAUUACAGCGAUGGUCAAAAGCAUUUAGAUAUUGCUUUGAAAUCUACAGAUAAGGUAUGGCAGUUUCGUUUUAAAGAACAAGAUGUUAAAGUUUAUGAUAAAAUUGUCAUCAGAAAUACUGUCCACUUGCAGUAUUUACAUAGGAAAAUGUUGGAGGAUGAAGCUCUACCUACUGCCUCAGGUUAAUUUAAAUUCUGAGUUGCAACAACAGCAACAAGCAAGAAGGGCACCGUUAAAUGAAUAUUAUACACAUAAAGCAACAACAGAAUAAAAAACCAAAAUAUGAACACCAGCAACUAAAACAGGAACCAUUAAAUGAAUAUUAUAUACAGAUCAACAUUUUGUAGAGCAAUAACAGCAUCAAAUAAUGGAAAUAAUG
rnacentral:lncRNA from 1 species